UACGUAGGGUGCGAGCGUUGUCCGGAAUUAUUGGGCGUAAAGAGCUCGUAGGCGGUUUGUUGCGUCGGCUGUGAAAUCCCGAGGCUCAACCUCGGGUCUGCAGUCGAUACGAGCAAACUAGAGUGUUGCAGGGGAGACUGGAAUUCCCGGUGUAGCGGUGAAAUGCGCAGAUAUCGGGAAGAACACCCGUGGCGAAGGCGGCUCUCUGGGACGGUACUGACGCUGAGACGCGAAAGCGUGGGGAGCGAACAGG
rnacentral:rRNA from 1 species